rnacentral:rRNA from 1 species
GUAAUUCUAGAGCUAAUACAUGCGUCGAGUCCUGACUCUCUGAGGAGGGAUGUAUUUAUUAGAUAAAAACCAACGCCGCAAGGGCUGGUCGGUGAUUCCUAGUAACUAGUCGGAUCGCAUGGCCUCGUGCCGGCGACAGAUCAUUCAAAAUUCUGCCCUAUCAGCUUUCGACGGUAGUGUAGUGGACUACCGUGGCAUUAACGGGUGACGGAGAAUUAGGGUUCGAUUCCGGAGAGGGAGCCUGAGAAAUGGCUACCACAUCCAAGGAAGGCAGCAGGCGCGCAAAUUACCCAAUCCUAACACAGGGGAGGUAGUGACAAGAAAUAACAAUACCGGGCCUUUACAGGUCUGGUAAUUGGAAUGAGUACAAUUUAAAUCCCUUUUCACAAGGAUCGAUUGGAGGGCGAAGUCUGGUGCCAGCAGCCGCGGUAAUUCCAGCUCCAAAAGCGUAUAUUAAAGUUAGUUGCAGUUAAAAGACUCGUAGUUGGAUUUCUGGCACGGUGCGCCUGGUCCGCGCCGCCCUCG